GCCAAUGUAGCUCAGUCGGUAGAGCAUUUCCAUGGUAAGGAAAAGGUCACCAGUUCGAUUCUGGUCAUUGGCUCAA
rnacentral:tRNA from 2 species